GGAGAAAACUGGAGGCUACAACAAUGCAGUUUAUCAUGAAACCACGCUCAGCAUUCACAACACUCAGGUCCAGUCGAGGAGCAGGUUCUUGGUUUUAGAGCUUAUGAAACAACAAAUAGAACAAGACCAGCAUAUUUCACUACACUACACAAAAGGAUCCUUGUAUCUUCAGACAACAUCAAGCAUUCAAAGAGAAUGUUUAACUUUCCUCAGGUAUGUUGACACAGCGCCAUGCAGGAAUGCGGCCAAUCAGGAAGUAUUUCUCUCUUGACAUUAACACAGUCAAAUAUUUCUACCUGGCUAUCCUUGAGUGGUUCAUUGGUUUAACAAACUACAUCAUGAUAUCAG